rnacentral:rRNA from 1 species
GACGAACGCUGGCGGCGUGCCUAAUACAUGCAAGUAGAACGCUGAAGCUUGGUGCUUGCACCGAGCGGAUGAGUUGCGAACGGGUGAGUAACGCGUAGGUAACCUGCCUGGUAGCGGGGGAUAACUAUUGGAAACGAUAGCUAAUACCGCAUAAUAGUAGACGUUGCAUGACAUUUGCUUAAAAGGUGCAAUUGCAUCACUACCAGAUGGACCUGCGUUGUAUUAGCUAGUUGGUGAGGUAACGGCUCACCAAGGCAACGAUACAUAGCCGACCUGAGAGGGUGAUCGGCCACACUGGGACUGAGACACGGCCCAGACUCCUACGGGAGGCAGCAGUAGGGAAUCUUCGGCAAUGGACGGAAGUCUGACCGGGCAACGCCGCGUGAGUGAAGAAGGUUUUCGGACCGUAAAGCUCUGUUGUAAGAGAAGAACGAGUGUGAGAGUGGAAAGUUCACACUGUGACGGUAUCUUACCAGAAAGGGACGGCUAACUACGUGCCAGCAGCCGCGGUAAUACGUAGGUCCCGAGCGUUGUCCGGAUUUAUUGGGCGUAAAGCGAGCGCAGGCGGUUAGAUAAGUCUGAAGUUAAAGGCUGUGGCUUAACCAUAGUACGCUUUGGAAACUGUUUAACUUGAGUGCAAGAGGGGAGAGUGGAAUUCCAUGUGUAGCGGUGAAAUGCGUAGAUAUAUGGAGGAACACCGGUGGCGAAAGCGGCUCUCUGGCUUGUAACUGACGCUGAGGCUCGAAAGCGUGGGGAGCAAACAGG